rnacentral:lncRNA from 1 species
AAGGUCGAUUAGGGUUUUUGAUCAGCCGCUCUCCCCUCGGUUCCUUUUCUACCUUUGUUCAAUCUAGAAUUUUGAUAAUUGUCUCUCGCUCUUAUGAUCGUAUCCACCUACAACUUGAAAAUCAAUCCGAUUGUAUGGUAUCAACAUUACUUCGAACCCUAAUUCGCAUCACUGAAAGAUCUUCAAUAACAAGAUGUCUUUUGAACCCACUUGCUCACAUAAAUCUUUAGUAUUACGUGUGCAUUUGAUGAAUCUUGGAAGACUUGGGAGCUCGGGGUGGAAUUAUUUCCGACGUUGGACUUCUUUGAGACACAAAUGUCAUCCACACCAAGGCGUGGUAAAAGCGAAAAGGAAGAAAGAUCGGUAAGGCUCAUGAUCAGAUAACAAAUCAACCGCGACAACGAAGGCUGCAUCCGAAUUUUUCCCCACAACUUCAGCACGUCAUAAAAGAGGUCAUAUCGCAGUGUGGUGACGUCGAAGUGAGCAACUGUAGUAGAGUCGGUGGUCUCAGAUGUUGGCGAGACAGGGGUUUAGGUCUGAAUUGCACUGAUGGUUGCUAAGGUGUGGAUGAUGCCGACGACUAGGGUUGUUGUCGAGUGUAGAUGGUGGUAGAUUGGAAUUUAGGCUUUUGCGCUAACUCUCCAUUGGAGUAGUCGAGAAUCGUCAUCAAUCAACAAACACCAGGUGAAAGCCAUUAAGCGGCUAUGAUGGGAUUUCUUGCUUUUUUUUUAUAAGAAAGGCGAUUCUAACCUUUGAAUGAUUACCUUUGGAUGGUGCGUUCAAUGGUCAUGUACUUGACUAUUGUUUUGCAAGGCUACCAUGGUUGUUGGGCUGGAUUUUGCACAUGAGCAUUUUUAUGUUUCUUGAGGAAUCGUCCUAUCUAGCCAUGAUGGAUUAUGUUUGAUAUCAAUGUCUAUGAUGAUUUGUAUGAGUUCAAAGAAACAUGAAUUUUUAUGUCUAUUGGUGCGACAACUAAGGUAUUUUUUUGUUUAGAAGGCAAUCUCUUAGUAUGCAGCCAUAGAGCAUAAUCUUUAUUUCUUAAAAUCUUCGCAUUUCUGAGCCUAUGAUGUUACGUUUUUUAAGGUUAUUGACGCUUAUAUUUUUUCCAUCCACGGUAGUUGUUCAUGUUUGUAGGAUAUGGUGAUGGGUUUGAGGUUAAAUGCGAAUGAAUUUACUUUUACCAUGAUUGUGUGUCUGUGGGCUAUGAUAAUUUGUUUUAGUUCAAAGUAAGCUGAGUUCGGUUUUAAUUUCUGGAAUAAUUUAUUUAUCAAUGUAACUUCAUGUGCGUAUGCUUCACAAAAUGAUGAAGAUAUGAUCUACAUAUAUAAUGCUUACUUACACAAGCUGGUAACAUCUUUUCUAUCUCAUCCACUUGCAAGAUACAAGGUGAAAGGAACAGAGGAGAUGGCCACACCUUCUCAGAGAAUUAGAUGAAAAUCUAUAUAGCCCUGAAAAUUGUUGGUACCUUUGUUCCUUUUAUGUUCAUCUUCUCCGCGCUUUGCGAGGCGUGUUUUCUGCCAGUACUGGAUCGGUUCGUUACUUUAUCGGUACGAUGCCGGCAUUCAGUAUAGCAACUGACCAUCAGUUGAAAACCAUAAAAAUGCAUGUCGAUACUGGGUUUUUAACAACUUUGGUUUGGAGAAACAGAAGGCUCUUCAUCUUGGAAUGCUGCCAUAGCCCAUGUCUUGACAGUGAUGGUUCGGGUCGGAUCAUGGAUAAACUUUGUCAACGACAUUCAACUACGGUCAAUCACAGUCAAGAGUGGUCCAUCUGAAGGUUGUUAUAGUUAAUAUCAUCCUAGGCACUCAUGUAUGGGCAGAAGACCUAGCAGUAUGUUGAGUGGUGGAGGUUGCGACUAAUUUUGUUGGUGAUCAUUCACGUUACAACCUUCUGAAUAGGAAAUCAUUUUUUUUUUGUGUUAUUUUUCUUGAUUCGUAAUCCAUCAUCCUCAUCUAUGCUUCUGUUUUGGGUUGCGACUGGACCUGAUAACCAAUUGGUUGCUUUAUGUGGUUUUAUUCGCUGAUGGUUUGCCCAGAGCCGAAUUUCGAAGGAGUCGUUUCUUUGUCUGUUUUGGAAUGUGGAACAUCGGACUAGCGGAGUCAAACUACAAGUCUAUGUAUCGAGAGUAGUGGCUACAUGGUGCACCCAAGAGAACAUGUAAAAGUAAUAUGCAUAUUUGGUAUGACUACAACAUCGUCAAUACCUCAGGGUGUUUUGGUUACUUUCACAUGUGCGAGACGCAAGCAAUUUGUUUCACUAGGGCAGGCUUCACUCUUCUAGGGGUCAAUAUUGAUGAAUAUCAAGUUAGAUAUACCAGGAGGUGAGAAUUACUUUACAAUGAAUCGGGUCAAGUUAUGCCGAUGUACCACAAGUUUUUUGUAUUUUGGAUAUAACAUAUGUUUUAGGUAUAACAAAAUCUGUAAUUAGAUAAUUUAUCUAUACUAUCUAAUGAUCAUCCGAUUUUAGAU